AGUUACAGACGGUCUGUUGCCAAAUGGGAAUCAUUACAGUGAUAAUGAAUACUCAGAGACAGACGAUUUGAAUACGGACCUGAUGAACACUUUCGCAGUAAAGGAAGAAAUGAAAGGUAAUCCAUUGCAAAAAGUUGAACAUACACUUCAAGACCUCAGUUACGAUGUCAAGAAUACUAUCAAAAAAGACUUAUAUGACGGCUGGUUGAUCACUCUACAUAAAGAUGUUAUUGCCGUGUUAAACAAACAGCCGCACGAUGUUAAAAAGGGUGGAAAUGGGGAAGU